rnacentral:rRNA from 1 species
UACGGAGGAUGCAAGCGUUAUCCGGAUUUAUUGGGUUUAAAGGGUGCGCAGGCGGACUAAUAAGUCAGUGGUGAAAUUUACAUGCUCAACAUGUAGCGUGCCAUUGAUACUGUUGGACUAGUAUACAAAUGACGUAGCUGGAAUGUGUUAUGUAGCGGUGAAAUGCAUAGAUAUAACACAGAACACCGAUCGUGAAGACAGGUUACGAAUUUGUUAUAGACGCUCAUGCACGAAAGCGUGGGGAUCAAA